UACGGAGGGUGCAAGCGUUAUCCGGAUUCACUGGGUUUAAAGGGUGCGUAGGAGGGCAGGUAAGUCAGUGGUGAAAUCUCCGAGCUUAACUUGGAAACUGCCGUUGAUACUAUCUGUCUUGAAUAUUGUGGAGGUGAGCGGAAUAUGUCAUGUAGCGGUGAAAUGCUUAGAUAUGACAUAGAACACCAAUUGCGAAGGCAGCUCGCUACGCACAUAUUGACUCUGAGGCACGAAAGCGUGGGGAUCAAACAGG
rnacentral:rRNA from 1 species